rnacentral:rRNA from 1 species
AUUGAACGCUGGCGGCAGGCCUAACACAUGCAAGUCGAACGAGUGGCGGACGGGUGAGUAAUGUCUGGGAAACUGCCCGAUGGAGGGGGAUAACUACUGGAAACGGUAGCUAAUACCGCAUCCCAUCUGAUUUGCCCAGAUGGGAUUGGCUAGUAGGUGGGGUAACGGCUAAACUGGGCGACGAUCCCUAGCUGGUCUGAGAGGAUGACCAGCAAACGUGGAACUGAGACAGGGUCCAGAUUCCGACGGGAGGCAGCAAUGGGGAAUAUUGCACAAUGGGCGUAAGCCUGAUGCAGCCAUGCCGCGUGGAUGAAGAAGGCCUUCGGGUGGUAAAGUACUUUAAGCGAGGAGGCGUUACUCGAAGAAGAAGCACCGGCUAACUCCGUGCCAGCAGCCGCGGUAAUAC